AUUGAACGCUGGCGGCAGGCCUAACACAUGCAAGUCGAACGGUAACAGGAAGAAGCUUGCUUCUUUGCUGACGAGUGGCGGACGGGUGAGUAAUGUCUGGGAAACUGCCUGAUGGAGGGGGAUAACUACUGGAAACGGUAGCUAAUACCGCAUAACGUCGCAAGACCAAAGAGGGGGACCUUCGGGCCUCUUGCCAUCGGAUGUGCCCAGAUGGGUUUAGCUAGUAGGUGGGGUAACGGCUCACCUAGGCGACGAUCCCUAGCUGGUCUGAGAGGAUGACCAGCCACACUGGAACUGAGACACGGUCCAGACUCCUACGGGAGGCAGCAGUGGGGAAUAUUGCACAAAGGGCGCAAGCCUGAUGCAGCCAUGCCGCGUGUAUGAAGAAGGCCUUCGGGUUGUAAAGUACUUUCAGCGGGGAGGAAGGGAGUAAAGUUAAUACCUUUGCUCAUUGACGUUACCCGCAGAAGAAGCACCGGCUAACUCCGUG
rnacentral:rRNA from 1 species